UACGUAGGGUCCGAGCGUUGUCCGGAAUUAUUGGGCGUAAAGAGCUCGUAGGCGGUAUGUCGCGUCUGCUGUGAAAGACCGGGGCUUAACUUCGGUUUUGCAGUGGAUACGGGCAUGCUUGAGGUAGGUAGGGGAGACUGGAAUUCCUGGUGUAGCGGUGAAAUGCGCAGAUAUCAGGAGGAACACCGGUGGCGAAGGCGGGUCUCUGGGCCUUACCUGACGCUGAGGAGCGAAAGCAUGGGUAGCCAACAGGAUUAGAUACCCGGGUAGUCCCU
rnacentral:rRNA from 1 species